UACGUAGGGUGCAAGCGUUGUCCGGAAUUACUGGGCGUAAAGCGUUCGUAGGCGGUUUGUCGCGUCGUUUGUGAAAACCAGCAGCUCAACUGCUGGCUUGCAGGCGAUACGGGCAGACUUGAGUACUGCAGGGGAGACUGGAAUUCCUGGUGUAGCGGUGAAAUGCGCAGAUAUCAGGAGGAACACCGGUGGCGAAGGCGGGUCUCUGGGCAGUAACUGACGCUGAGGAACGAAAGCGUGGGUAGCGAACAGG
rnacentral:rRNA from 1 species